UGAUGUGAAAUUUACAGCUUCCUUCCAUGAAAACGUUAAAAAAAUUGGAGUACAUUGUUAUGAUGACCAGACUCAAAGGCAUUCAUGUAAUUGGGUGAAUCACAGAGUUUCAGGAAUCUUCUGGACUAACCAAAAGUGAUGGCUGAAACAAAUAUUAACUGGUAGUUUAACUUAGUGAUCUGGACACUGGAUAAGCAAAAAACCAUUUUCAACAGAACUGUUAAGAGUGUAAAUAAAAAAAAAACCAAAGAUACCCACUCUCCAAUUCAUUCAUAGCUUCAUUCUUGGCUUCACUGUGUCGAUUUUCUAUUGUACCUAGGCUGAAGGGACUUUCAAACCAUAAACAACAGCACCACAGAGCAGUUGACUUUCAUUUCUUCUUCUGAAUUUGUAUGUUAUAUCCUUAAUUAUUAUACCCCCCGCAAACGAAGUUUAGGGGGGGGUAUAUUGGAAUCAGCUUGUCUGUCUGUCUGUCCGUCUGUCUGUCUGUCCGUCUGUCUGUAGACGAGAUUUUGUCCGGACCAUUUCUUGGAAACUGUUGCAAGGAUUUGUCUGAAAAUUUGUACACUUAUUCUUCGCUAUAUGAAAGUGUGCACCUGGUAUUUUCAUCAUGAUUGGAUAAUUUUUGUGCAUUUUACAGGUGUUUUUUUCAUUUUUAUUAUGUGGUUUUGUCUGGAUCUGUUCCCAGAGACUAUUGCAUAGAUUUGUAUGAAAAUUUGUACACUUAUUAUUUACCAUAUGAAGAUGUGCACCUGGUAUUUUCAACAUUAUUUGAUAAUUUUUCUGCAUUUUACAGGUGUUUUUUUCCCCAUUUUUAUUGACUUGGUCAUUUCAAGUUCAUGUCUAAGGUUUGAGACAUAGAAUCUAGAACAUCUGUACAAAAAUGUGAA